CUUCUGAUGGUUGAUACGCCUACAUGCAAAUACAUCCACGCAGGUAGCCACCAUGUGAUUACUUUCAAGGCUCAAAAUUUAGCUGGGAGAGUGACGAUGGACAUGAAAUUAAAAAAACAGAACGAAAAGCAUCGGUUUCUUGGGCGAAAGACUGACAGAAUAUUGAAGAACAUACCGGUCAGCUCUUCAAGUCCCCAAAUGUGUUUCUAAUGCCACCCUG